rnacentral:rRNA from 1 species
UUAAGUCCCGCAACGAGCGCAACCCUUGUCAUUAGUUGCUACGAAAGGGCACUCUAAUGAGACUGCCGGUGACAAACCGGAGGAAGGUGGGGAUGACGUCAAGUCCUCAUGGCCCUUAUAGGUGGGGCUACACACGUCAUACAAUGGCUGGUACAAAGGGUUGCCAACCCGCGAGGGGGAGCCAAUCCCAUAAAGCCAGUCGUAGUCCGGAUCGCAGUCUGCAACUCGACUGCGUGAAGUCGGAAUCGCUAGUAAUCGUGGAUCAGCAUGUCACGGUGAAUACGUUCCCGGGUCUU